UACGGGGGGUGCGAGCGUUGUCCGGAAUCACUGGGCGUAAAGGGCGCGUAGGUGGCGUGAUAAGGGUGUGGUGAAAGCUCGACGCUCAACGUCGAGUCGGCCAUAGAGACUGGAGGGCUCGAGCACUGUAGGGGCAGAUGGAAUUCCGGGUGUAGCGGUGGAAUGCGUAGAGAUCCGAAAGAACACCGGUGGCGAAGGCGGUCUGCUGGGCAGUUGCUGACACUGAGGCGCGACAGCGUGGGGAGCAAACAGG
rnacentral:rRNA from 1 species